GAGGGAAUCUUCCACAAUGGGCGCAAGCCUGAUGGAGCAACACCGCGUGAGUGAAGAAGGGUUUCGGCUCGUAAAGCUCUGUUGUUAAAGAAGAACACGUAUGAGAGUAACUGUUCAUACGUUGACGGUAUUUAACCAGAAAGUCACGGCUAACUACGUGCCAC
rnacentral:rRNA from 1 species